CCGUUCCCGUAACUUAAACGUCUCCCAAAAACACGUUCUCUGGUGUUGAUGUGCUGCUGUGUUAUCCAUAAUUUUGCCUGAAAAGUAUUAACAAGCCCACUAUACAACCCUGUAGUACCGUAACAACGAAAUCGAAACCAAAAAAGAAGUAAUAAAACCGAUAGGUGAAUUUGUAUCGGAUAUCGACAACUGCCCGCUUACAACAAUUUCUCAUCAGUAUCUUAUUUUCCCUGUUUGAGUGAGUAACAAAAUUUUCGCAAGGAAAAUUUUGCCGUCGAACGUGACAUUUAAUCGAUGUAGGCAUUAAAAUAUAUUUCAAUCGCAUUGAAUAGUGCAUUAAAAAAUUCGAACGUAAAAUUUUACCCUAAAAAGGAAUAAUCGUAGAAAUUAAAAAUAAAAAAAUCGUGGUAGACAUUUCGCGUACAAAAAUCUUGUAAGUGCUUUCGUCUGAAUGCACAUUGCAUUGCAAGUAAUCACGGGUAACAUAUUUUAAUUAUAUUAAAACACAAUAGUGAAGAAAAUCGAUUUUUCGUGUGUGAUCAAAGAAAAUUGGGCCACCUAAAUACAAUACGGUUCAGUUCAGUUCAAAUCACUUCGGCAUUUAUAAAGUGGGAGAGAAGCUGAAACAAGUGUUACAAACAACCGCAAACGUUAAAAAACGUGAAUUAACAAACAUAUAUAAUUAGAGAGAAGAGAAAUAAAUAAAUUACGAAAGCUUACGAAACUGCUUAAAACAAAGAAUAGAAGUUGUGUUUUUACGUAGAGCUCUUUAAGAAGCAAACUAAACAAACGCUAAAAAUAAAUUAUAUUAUAGGAAUGAUCAACUGUAUACACUGAAGGUAAGCUGCACGAUUAAGUGAGUAUUUGCUGACUUAUCUAAGAUACCCAUUUACACCCAUGCUUGUCAAUGUAUCGCUAAAUAUGUACGAAAUCGAAGUGAUAUACAUAUAGAAAAUAAUAUUUGAUAUAUUUUCAAAAUAUUAAAUAACAUGACAAUAAUAAACGUUUGCCAGAAUUUAUGAUUCUUCAUGGAGUCUCUAAAAAAAAAGAAA